rnacentral:lncRNA from 1 species
GUGGAGUGAGAUGCGUGGGGUGGGAUGUGUGGGGUGAGAUGUGUGGGGCGGGAUGUGUGGGGCGAGAUGUGUGGGGUGAGAUGAUGUGUGGGGCGAGAUGUGUGGGGCGGGAUGCGUAGGGUGAGAUGAUGUGUGGGGUGGGAUGUUUGGGGCAGGAUGUGUGGGACAGGAUGUGUGGGGUGAGAUGAUGUGUGGGGUGGGAUGUUUGGGGCGGGAUGUGUGGGGCGAGAUGUGUGGGGCGGAAUGUGUGGGGCGGGAUGUGUGGGGCGGGAUGUGUGGGGCAGGAUGUGUGGGGUGACGCUGCGCUCUCCCCCCAGGACGGGAACGGGAACCAGGUGCUGCCCCGCGUGUCCCAGGAGGAGGUGAACCAGCGCCUGAGCAACCUGUACAGCCUGCUGCUCGAGCUGCAGGUGCGGGGGGCGGCGCUAUGGGGCAGCGUGGGGCGGUGCCGUGGUGUGGCGCUAUGGGGCAGUGCUGUGGUGUGGCGCUAUGGGGCAGUGUGGGGCGGUGCCGUGGUGUGGCGCUAUGGGGCAGUGUGGGGUGGUGCUGUGGUGUGACGCUAUGGGGCAGUGUGGGGCGGUGCCAUGGUGUGGUGCUAUGGGGCGCUGUGGGGCUGAUGCUGUGGGGUGUGGGGUGAUGUGAGGUGGUGCUAUGGGGCUCUGGGGUGGUGCCGUGGGGCCGCUGUGGGGCUGACGCUAUGGGGUGGUGCG